rnacentral:rRNA from 1 species
UAGCCAUGCAUGCUUAGUAGAAAUGGCGAACGGCUCAGUAAUGUUGCGAUGAUUUGCUCUUGAUGGUACAGAUAACCACGGCAAGCUGUGGCUAAGAGGCAAGAAUAAGACGCAACCCUAUCAGUUAGUUGGUAGUGUAAAGGACUACCAAGACGACGACGGGUGACGGGAAAUGAGGGUUUGAUUCCGGAGAGGGAGCCUGAGAGAUGGCUCCCACGUCCAAGGACGGCAGCAGGCGCGAAAAUUGCCCACUCUUGGUGAGGAGGCAGUUAUGAGACGUAGAUUAGAGGGCACAGUAAACAAGUGCUUUGAGUAUUGGAGGGCAAGUUUGGUGCCAGCAGCCGCGGUAAUACCGACUCCAAGAGUGUCUAUGGUGGAUGCUGCAGUUAAAAAGUCCGUAGUUGUAUAUGCAAUUGAAGGGCACCGGUCAAGGGUGCAGGGUUUGCUAAGGAUGGCGGAACGGGCAGAGUGCAUAGUAUAGGCGGGCGAGAGAUGAAAUACCAAGACCCCGCCUGGACUGACGGAGGCGAAAGCGAUGCACUUGAACGAGUCUGGGGAUCAAGGACGAAGGCUGGAGGAUCGAAAGUGAUUAGAUACCGCUGUAGUUCCAGCAGUAAACGAUGCCGACAAGCAGGACACGGGAGUGUUUGCUGGGAGAAAUCAUAGUUUUCGGGCUCUGGGGAUAGUACGCUCGCAAGGGUGAAACUUAAAUGAAAUU